rnacentral:rRNA from 1 species
GUCUUUUUGGGGUUUUUAAAAAGUCUGACCUGCCCACUGAAUUUUUUUUUGAAUGGCCGCAGUAUUUUAACUGUGCAAAGGUAGCAUAAUCAUUAGUCUUUUAAUUGAAGGCUGGUAUGAAUGGUUGGACGAAGUAUGAGCUGUUUCGUAUAAAAUUGUGUUAGAAUUUUAUAUUUUAGUUAAAAAGCUAAAAUUUAAUUAAAAGACGAGAAGACCCUAUAAAUCUUUAUAUUUAAUAUUGAUUAAAUUUUUUUGAUUAAUUUUAUUUUUUUAAUUUGAAAUAUUUUAUUGGGGUGAUGUUAAAAUUUAAUAAACUUUUAAUUAUAAAUUAAAUCAUUAAUUUAUGAAUAGUUGAUCCAUUAAUAAUGAUUAUAAGAUUAAGUUACUUUAGGGAUAACAGCGUAAUUUUUUUUGAGAGUUCAUAUCGAUAAAAAAGUUUGCGACCUCGAUGUUGGAUUAAGAUAUAUUUUUAGGUGCAGCCGCUUAAAUGUUAAGUCUGUUCGACUUUUAAUUUCUUACAU